CACUGUAUGAUUUUACUUGAAAUAUUCUGAUCUCAGCCUGAGGGACAUAGUGUCAAUCUUCAGUGAUUUCUGUAGAAAAAUGUGUGUGCAUGUAUAUGUGUGUGUUUGUGUGU
rnacentral:miRNA from 1 species